AAAUUGUUUCCAUGGUUAUUGUAGUGUCUCUGGGGCUUAGCUGGUUGACUGACUACAGUAUCAGUGAUUUGUCGACACAUCUGUAGAGUGUCGGGAUGAGUCAGAAUCGUUUUGGCGCGAAAUAGACGCGAAAACAGACUCUCGUAUAAACAAAUUCUCGAACAGCUUCUCCAUCGCACUCACCCAACCUUCUACGACCCAGGGCUCGGUGCGACUACC
rnacentral:lncRNA from 1 species